GAUGAACGCUAGCGGCAGGCUUAAUACAUGCAAGUCGAACGGGAUUUAAGAUAGCAAUAUUUUGAUGAGAGUGGCGCACGGGUGCGUAACACGUAUGCAACCUACCUUUAACUGGUGAAUAGCCCCGGGAAAUCGGGAUUAAUACACCAUAACAUUACGGAAUGGCAUCAUUCUGCAAUUAAAGAUUUUCGGUUAGAGAUGGGCAUGCGGGACAUUAGCUUGUUGGUGAGGUAACGGCUCACCAAGGCAACGAUGUCUAGGGGUCCUGAGAGGGUUUUCCCCCA
rnacentral:rRNA from 1 species